AUUAGUUCGGGUUUUAGGAUUAAGAGUAUGGGGAGGACAUGGAGGGUUAUUAGGAGGUGUUCUCAUGUGCUUGAGUUUUUGAGGGUUGUGAUGUGGUUAGGUAGGGUUCCUCGUUGGGUUGUUGUUAGUAUGAAUAGUGUGUAUGAGGCGGUUAGUAGGGUUGCGAUUCCAGUUAGGAGGAUUGUGAAUAGUGCGAUUGCGAUGCUUAGUUCUGCUAUUAGGUUUGUAGUGGGGAGUAGGGCUAUAUUUGUGAGGUUAGCUAGCAGUCAUCAGGUGGCUAUUAGUGGGAGGAGGGGCUGUAAUCCUUGGGUUAGGAAGAGGAUGUGGCUGUGUGUGCAUUCAUAGUUCGUAUUGGCUAGGCAAAACAGUAUUGAGGAAGUUAGGCCAUGGGAGAUUAUGAGGAUUAUGGCUCCAGAGAAUGAUCACUGUGCUUGGAUUAUGCAUGCAGCGAUAACUAGGCCUAUAUGGCUUAUGGAAGAAUAGGCAAUGAGUGAUUUUAGGUCGAUUUGGCAUAGGCAAAUUGAGCUGGUUAUUAGUGCUCCUCAUAGGGCGAGGGUGAUGAAUGGGUAGUAUAGGAGGUUGUUUGAGGAUGGGUUUAUUAGGAGAGUGAUGUGUAUGAUGCCGUAUCCGCCUAAUUUUAGGAGAAGGGCAGUGAGUAGUAUGGAUCCUGCAAUUGGGGCUUCUACGUGGGCUUUGGGUAGUCAGAGGUGGAGGCCGUAUAGGGGUGCUUUUACUAUGAAGGCUAUAAAUAGGGCUGUGCUUAGGAGGAGGGUGGAUCAAUAGUUGGUUGGUGUGGAUGGUAGAAGGUGGGGGGUGAGUUUUAGGGUUGGGAGGUGGAGGGUGCCUGUUUGUGAGUGUAGAUACAGGAUUGCGAUUAGUAGGGGGGUAGGGAGCUGAUGAGUGUGUAGAAGAGGAGGUAAAUUCCAGCACUUAGACAUUCUGGCUGGCUUCCUCAUCGUGUGACUAGAAUUAGUGUUGGGAUUAAAGUUGCUUCAAAGGAGAUGUAAAAUAAUAUGAGUUCUGUGGUUGAGAAGGCUAGGAUGAUGAAUGGUUGGACUGAGAUUAGGGUUAUUGUGAAUGUUCAUUUUCAUGUGGGUGGUUUGUGUUGCAGGUGGGUUUGGCUUGCUAGGAUUAUGAGUGGUAGGAGCCAGCAGGAUAGGACUAGUAGGGGGGAGGAUGUUUGGUUGAUGCCUGCCCAUUGAGUGAGGUUUUCGUAUGGGUGAUAUGAUGGUGUUAGUCAUUGUAGGCUUAGGGUGGCGAUUAGUAGACUGUGUAUUGUGGUGUUAGAUCAUAGGAAUUUUAGGGGUGAGAGGAGGGCUAUGGGGAGUAGUAUUGUUGUUGGUAGGAUAAUUUUUAGCAUUGUAGUAGGUUUAGGUUGUGUAGAUGGUCAGAGCCAUGUGUUUGUGUGGAGGCUACUAGUAUUGCUAGUCCUGUGCCUGCUUCGCAAGCAGAGAAUGCUAGUAUGAGGAUUGGCAUGAGGGUAGAGGAUGGUGUUUGGUUUUCGAUUGGUCAAAUUGAUAGGGCAAUAUAUAUUGAUAGCAUUAUGCUUUCUAAGCAUAGUAGGGCAGAGAUUAGGUGGGCUCGGUGGAAGGCUAGUCCUAGGCUGCUUAGGGCGAAAGCUGAGUAGAAGCUUAGGUGAUGUUUUCCUGUAGGUAAAGGCUUAGUAGAAGUAUGAAGACAUAGGCUUGGAUCAUGGCUACUGCCACUUCUAGGAUUGUUAGUAGGAGAAGAAUUAUUGUGGUGAGAGUAGAUACUGUGGGUAUGAUGGGGAGGAGUGUGAUGGUGACUGUGGA
ensembl:lncRNA